CUUUGGGAAAUCAGCUUCCAAGGCAAACCCAGGCCCAGGAGACAGGCGCCUUUCCCAAGGCCUCGACUGAUGCAGAAUCCGGACCAGGUAAUGGAUGUCAUGGAUGCAUUUGUAUUAGAAAAUCUCCACCUAACAUCUUGUGAUGUAGAUCUGCAUCCUUUUCAUCACGGAAGACAUCAUUCUGUGAGAACAGGAACAGAAAGUAUGAAGUGGGACAGGAGACAGACUCCCUGAGGUGCUUUGAAAACUCCAGAGUAUAUAAGAGCGUCGGAUGAAUCCAAGUUAAAGUGCAUUAAUAAAUACUGC